GUCACCGACUCAAUUGGGAGAGCAUUAGACUAUAAAUCGAAAAGUCGCUGGUUCGAUCCCGGGUUUUGGCA
rnacentral:tRNA from 1 species